CAACCAAAACCCAAUACCUUCUACCUCAAGCUUUCACGUGGGGUUCAUCACUUAUGUCGUAUUACGUGCUUUCCUGCUCGAGAACGCGUCGGGCGUCUGGCUGUAGAAGGUAGUAUGGAGAUUCGUCGACAGUCAAGCAGUCUAUCAGUUUUUGACUGCUGGAAUAUAAACGACUGCAAUAAUGUACCGUAAAUCUAUACAGGUGCUCUUUGACUGCUUGUCGAAGUCCUUUUUUGCCCCAGCCAGUAGGUCUCUAGACGUUACAAAGAACCCCAAACAACCCAAACUGUUAAUCUUCAAUACCGCUUUGUACUUACGAUCUUGUAUCCACUAACUGUCUUGUUAGAUUAGCCCAAUAAAUUUCAUUCACUCUGCAUACUCAAUCCUAUAGACACCCUUUUAAUCCUUCAAUCACAGACGUAACUCGAUUUCACAAAACAGUCAAGAGUAUUCAAACCCACUUCAUUAAAAAUUCCGAUUCACCAUUACAAUACUGACUUCAGCAGCGAUUGCCUCAGU
rnacentral:lncRNA from 1 species